UGAUGAUGGUCGUGUUCAUGACCAUGUUCAUGACCAUGUUCAUGGUGAUGUUCAUGUUCGUGAUGAUGCUCAUGAUCGUGCUCAUGAUCGUGCUCA
rnacentral:pre_miRNA from 1 species